GAUGAACGCUGGCGGCGUGCCUAAUACAUGCAAGUCGAGCGAACAGACGAGGAGCUUGCUCCUCUGACGUUAGCGGCGGACGGGUGAGUAACACGUGGAUAACCUACCUAUAAGACUGGGAUAACUUCGGGAAACCGGAGCUAAUACCGGAUAAUAUAUUGAACCGCAUGGUUCAAUAGUGAAGGACGGUUUUGCUGUCACUUAUAGAUGGAUCCGCGCCGCAUUAGCUAGUUGGUAAGGUAACGGCUUACCAAGGCAACGAUGCGUAGCCGACCUGAGAGGGUGAUCGGCCACACUGGAACUGAGACACGGUGCAGACUACUAAGGGAGGCAGCAGUAGGGAAUCGUCCGCAAUGGGCGAAAGCCUGACGGAGCGACGCCGCGUGAGUGAUAAAGGUCUUCGGAUAGUAAAACUCUGUUAUCAGGGAAGAACAAAUGGGUAAGUAACUAUGCACGCCUUGACGGUGCCUAAUCAGAAAGCCACGGCUAACUACGUG
rnacentral:rRNA from 1 species